GACAAUAUUUGAAAUAUUCACAAUAUUGAAAAUCGUGAUCGUUCGAGUAUUCUCCCAUUUUUAUAUUUAACGAGUAUUCGGAUCCGAGUAUUUGGUUUUUGGACGAAGGGUGAAUUGGCAGGGGCAGGGUUAAAUUGACAUUUUUUUUUUUUUUUUUUUUUUUUUUUGAGGAUUUUGAAGAAAAAGUGAAAGGUGAUUCAGAAUUGGUGGCUCAAUAUUGAUUAAAGAGAUCGCACGAAGGCACAUGGAUGAGACUGGAAUCGAAGUUUUAUGGUCAAUUUCGUUGGUGAAGUAAUGUUGAUGGUUUCGUUGACAGAAUCCCGUGCGCGUCAGAUUACCGAGCAUCCAGUCGAUCGAGAACCAUGAUCGUGGAACCGAUCGUGGUAUCGAUCGCUAUCCGGCGUUGAAAUCGUUCGAGACAGAGAGAGAGACUUCGUUUAUCCGCGUGUGAUCGUCGAUUGAUCAUGAGACGAGCGUACGAGUAACACGCGACGGAACCCCGCUGCUGGACAGUUUUCUCGUUCGUGAAUCGAUGAUGCCGGCCGCCAAAAUGACGAACGAAAUGGCGUUCAUCCUUGCCAUCUGGCUCCUGACCACGAUUGCCAGAGGUGUGACGAGCACGGGACAACGAUACACUACCAGCCC